rnacentral:rRNA from 1 species
UACGAGGGGGGCUAGCGUUGUUCGGAAUUACUGGGCGUAAAGCGCGCGCAGGCGGGUCAUCAAGUCAGGGGUGAAAGUCCAGAGCUCUACUCUGGAACUGCCCUUGAAACUGGUGACCUUGAGUACGGGAGAGGUGAGUGGAAUUCCCAGUGUAGAGGUGAAAUUCGUAGAUAUUGGGAAGAACACCGGUGGCGAAGGCGGCUCACUGGCCCGUAACUGACGCUCAGGCGCGAUAGCGUGGGGAUCGAACAGG